rnacentral:rRNA from 1 species
CGCGUAGGUGGUUGUGAUAGUCAGAUGUGAAAUCCUUUGGCUUAACUGAAGAACUGCAUCUGAAACUUCACAACUCGAGUACAGGAGAGGGAAGCGGAAUUCCCGGUGUAGAGGUGAAAUUCGUAGAUAUCGGGAGGAACACCAGUGGCGAAGGCGGUUUCCUGGCCUGAUACUGACACUGAGGCGCGAAAGCGUGGGGAGCAAACA